rnacentral:rRNA from 2 species
CCUGGUGAUCUCAAGCAAGAGGGUCACACCUGUUCCCAUCUCGAACACAGAAGUUAAGCCUCUUAGCGCCGAUGAUAGUGGCUUUGCCGCGAAAGUAGGCCAUCGCCAGGA